rnacentral:tRNA from 1 species
GCAUUAAUAAUUUAAUUUUAAAAUUUUAGUCUUGUAAACUAACCUUAAGAAUUUUACUUCUUUUAAUGCU